rnacentral:rRNA from 1 species
UACGGAAGGUCCGGGCGUUAUCCGGAUUUAUUGGGUUUAAAGGGAGCGCAGGCGGGAUAUUAAGCGUGACGUGAAAUGUAGAUGCUCAACAUCUGAACUGCGUCGCGAACUGGUUUCCUUGAGUGCAUUCGACGUCAGCGGAAUUUGUGGUGUAGCGGUGAAAUGCUUAGAUAUCACGAAGAACUCCGAUUGCGAAGGCAGCUGACGAGACUGUAACUGACGCUAAAGCUCGAAAGUGCGGGUAUCGAAC